UACGGAGGAUGCGAGCGUUAUCCGGAUUUACUGGGUGUAAAGGGAGCGUAGGCGGCGAUGCAAGUCAGUGGUCAAAUUGCGGGGCUCAACCCCGUACUGCCGUUGAAACUGCAUCCCUUGAGUGCGCGAGAAGUAUGCGGAAUGCGUGGUGUAGCGGUGAAAUGCAUAGAUAUCACGCAGAACUCCGAUUGCGAAGGCAGCUUACCGGCGCUCAACUGACGCUGAGGCACGAAAGUGCGGGUAUCGAACAGG
rnacentral:rRNA from 1 species